GAAUAUUGGACAAUGGGCGCAAGCCUGAUCCAGCAAUGCCGCGUGAGUGAUGAAGGCCCUAGGGUUGUAAAGCUCUUUCGCUCGUGACGAUGAUGACGGUAACGAGAGAAGAAGCCCCGGCUAACUUCGUGCCAGCAGCCGCGGUAAUACGAAGGGGGCUAGCGUUGUUCGGAAUUACUGGGCGUAAAGUGCACGUAGGCGGUCCCGCCAGUCAGAAGUGAAAGCCCUGGGCUCAACCCGGGAACUGCUUUUGAUACUGUGGGGCUUGAAUCCUGGAGAGGGUCGUGGAAUUCCCAGUGUAGAGGUGAAAUUCGUAGAUAUUGGGAAGAACACCAGUGGCGAAGGCGACGACCUGGCCAGGCAUUGACGCUGAGGUGCGAAAGCGUGGGGAGCAAAC
rnacentral:rRNA from 1 species